rnacentral:rRNA from 1 species
GACGAACGCUGGCGGCGUGCUUAACACAUGCAAGUCGAGCGGUAAGGCCCUUUCGGGGGUACACGAGCGGCGAACGGGUGAGUAACACGUGGGUGGCCUGCCCUCAGCUCUGGGAUAAGCCUGGGAAACCGGGUCUAAUACCGGAUAUGACUCCAUGACGCAUGUUGUGGGGUGGAAAGCCUUGUGCAGCUGAGGAUGGGCCCGCGGCCUAUCAGCUUGUUGGUGGGGUGANGGCCUACCAAGGCGACGACGGGUAGCCGGCCUGAGAGGGCGACCGGCCACACUGGGACUGAGACACGGCCCAGACUCCUACGGGAGGCAGCAGUGGGGAAUCUUGCGCAAUGGGCGAAAGCCUGACGCAGCGACGCCGCGUGAGGGAUGACGGCCU